rnacentral:rRNA from 1 species
UACGGGGGGGGCAAGCGUUGUUCGGAAUUACUGGGCGUAAAGGGCUCGUAGGUGGCCAACUAAGUCAGACGUGAAAUCCCUCAGCUUAACUGGGGAACUGCGUCUGAUACUGGAUGGCUUGAGUUUGGGAGAGGGACGCGGAAUUCCAGGUGUAGCGGUGAAAUGCGUAGAUAUCUGGAGGAACACCGGUGGCGAAGGCGGCGUCCUGGACCAACACUGACACCGAUGAGCGAAAGCCAGGGGAGCAAACGGG